rnacentral:rRNA from 1 species
UACGUAGGGAGCAAGCGUUGUCCGGAAUCAUUGGGCGUAAAGCGCGCGUAGGCGGCCUCGUAAGUCCGCUGUAAAAGUCACAGGCUCAACCUGUGAACGCCGGUGGAUACUGCGAGGCUAGAGUCCGGAAGAGGCGAGUGGAACUCCUGGUGUAGCGGUGGAAUGCGCAGAUAUCAGGAAGAACACCCGUGGCGAAGGCGGCUCUCUGGAACGCAACUGACGCUGAGACGCGAAAGCGUGGGGAGCAAACAGG